rnacentral:rRNA from 1 species
AAUUUUGGACAAUGGGGGAAACCCUGAUCCAGCCAUCCCGCGUGUUUGAUGAAGGCCUUCGGGUUGUAAAGUACUUUUGGCAGAGAAGAAAAGGUAUCUCCUAAUACGAGAUACUGCUGACGGUAUCUGCAGAAUAAGCACCGCAUAAAUACGUCCCAGGAGCCGCGGUAAAACGUAGGGUGCAAGCGUUAAUCGGAAUUACUUGGGGUAAAGCAUGUGUAGGCGGUUCGGAAAGAAAGAUGUGAAAUCCCAGGGCUCAACCUUGGAACUGCAUUUUUAACUGCCGAGCUAGAGUAUGUCAGAGGGGGGUAGAAUUCCACGUGUAGCAGUGAAAUGCGUAGAUAUGUGGAGGAAUACCGAUGGCGAAGGCAGCCCCCUGGGAUAAUACUGACGCUCAGACACGAAAGCGUGGGGAGCAAACAGG